rfam:Schistosoma mansoni strain Puerto Rico chromosome 3, complete genome
AUCCAGCUGACGAGUCUCAAAUGGGACGAAACGCGCGUUCUCAGCGAAUGAAU